AGUGAUUUUUAGUUCUGAUUUGCAGUUAUAGACUGCAAUGUUUAGCUUUAAAAUAUAAACCAUCAUUUGUAGUUCUUGUUACUGAACCUGUUGUUUUUGCAGUUGAGCUACUAAACUGAAACAUCAGUUGUUUUUUUCUUUUUCUGUAUUAAUGAUUUGAUUUUUCUCUCUCUGGACACCCAGAAGUCAAAGGUACAGAAAAGAAAAGACCCUGCUGAAGACUUUCUUGAGAUGUACUGUCAUCCAAAAACAAGUUCAAGGGAUAGAAAUCCAGAAAAGACAGUAUCUGAAUUAAUGCAGGAGAUCAAGGAGCUGAAAGAGGAGAACGCUAACUUGAAGGAGAUGGUUGUUCAAGAUAUACCAGAACUCAUGAACACCAUGAAAAAUGUAAUUAAGUCGGUUGUACCUACUAAGCGAUCCAGGCUUGAGCUUAAUACACCACCGAUGCCCCCCCCAGAGUUUUAGUUCCUCAGCACCAUCCCACCCUGGAGCUACAGAAUCCAGUUCCGUGUCUGACACUGUGACUCCAUCCCAGAAGGACUCGCAGUCUUCUAAGGUGGAGAUCUACCCUGGAACUGGAGUCCUGGUGGAGAAACUGGCGUGGACGUACGCUUUAAAUUCACAUUCAGCCACUGGAUUUGUGAGACAUCUAGUCACAGCAGUCUUCCCACCAGAGAUACUGCUGGUGAGCAAUCUUCGCGGGGGCAAACGAGGUGGAGGCGAUGCUCGUCUACCAUUGGACAAGCAUAAAUUGGAUGCCAUUUACAGUGCAACUCUUAAGAGGUGGCCAGGGACACAGAUCCCCAGCAUCGGAACCACAAUAAAUGGCAAGAUUACAGAACUCCGGGCGAAAAGUAAAAAUGUUGCCGUGCCAUAAGUUGUCAUGGUUACGCUUUGGGUUGGUUCUUAAGGUUGUUUCCUGUUUUAUUUUUAAGGCCCUUCCUUGUUUGUUUAGUUUAGUUUGACUUCCCUCGUCCCAAUCUUUCCUGAUCAUUGGCACCUAUGUCUCGUCAGCCCCGUUAGUAUAUAUGUCUUGUCACUCCCUUCCUCUUGUGCUGAUCCGUACUGUUUGUUCCCCCCUUCAAGUGGUUUUGGUUCUAUUGUCAAGCUUAGAUAAGUCUGUUCUCAGUUUAUGUUACUCUUUUGGUAUUUGGAUUCCCUGUGGUACAGCGUCCUCUGUUAAAUAAAUAGAUUUUGUUUUUUCGAAC
rnacentral:lncRNA from 1 species